UUAAAUUGAAGAGUUUGAUCAUGGCUCAGAUUGAACGCUGGCGGCAGGCCUAACACAUGCAAGUCGAACGGUAACAGGAAGCAGCUUGCUGCUUUGCUGACGAGUGGCGGACGGGUGAGUAAUGUCUGGGAAACUGCCUGAUGGAGGGGGAUAACUACUGGAAACGGUAGCUAAUACCGCAUAACGUCGCAAGACCAAAGAGGGGGACCUUCGGGCCUCUUGCCAUCGGAUGUGCCCAGAUGGGAUUAGCUAGUAGGUGGGGUAACGGCUCACCUAGGCGACGAUCCCUAGCUGGUCUGAGAGGAUGACCAGCCACACUGGAACUGAGACACGGUCCAGACUCCUACGGGAGGCAGCAGUGGGGAAUAUUGCACAAUGGGCGCAAGCCUGAUG
rnacentral:rRNA from 2 species